rnacentral:lncRNA from 1 species
UUCUGGGAUAAAGAGCGGGCCGGGCCUCGACCUGGAGCUGGGGCUGGGCUCUACCCGAGCGUGGGCGGCUGGAGAGGGCGCGCAGCCAGAGGGCGAAAGGGGGCUGUGUCAGUGCCGGGAUCCCGGUGCCCUGGUUCCCCGGUGUUCUCUCGGCACCUGCGGCUCACACCUGCCGUUCAGACCCCUGCCACAGCUACCCUGCUCGCCCUCCGGGACUUCUGAUCCUGUCCCCCAGCCCUUGGAUGGUGGCCCCGUCCUGACUCGAACACAGACACCCGGCCACGGGAAAAUCGAGGAACGCUUAUCUGGACAGGGUGGAUAUAUUUUGGAGCCGAUCCAGGACCUGGUGGAGGUGGCUCUGAGCCUGUUCCUAAACUCGGAAGAAUAAGAGCGGGAAAGGGACAGGUAGGCAGGAAACUGCACUCCUGGAUUCGCUCCUACACGAGGGUAUCCUGCGCGGAGACUUGGCUUGCAGCGUCUCCUGCUAGGACCCUCCAGUGGACAUGGCUCAGGGCCACCACAGGCCCAGGCCCGCACCCGCUUCACCCCCCAGAGCUUCCUGGACCUGCCCUUGAACAUCCAGCCACUCACUGUGGGAGUCAACAACACCAACCCCAGCAGCCUCCUCACCCACGUCUGUGGACUCCUGGGUGCUUCCCGUGUCCACGGCAUCGUCUUUGAGGACAACGUGGGCACUGAGGCAGUGGCCCAGCUCCUGGACUUCGUCUCCUCCCAGACUCACGUGCCCAUCCUCAGCAUCAGCGGGGGCUCUGCUGUGGUCCUUACCCCCAAGGCCUCCUCAGAUGGUCGGGCUGCGGACCAGGGAUACAGGGUCCACUGGGGAUGUGAUCUGAUGCCGGGCCUUUUGCGCAAUUAAAAU